rnacentral:rRNA from 1 species
GCCAGCAGGUAUAUCACCUUGCAACUCACAACUGGCAGCCCGCCGAAGCUCAGCAGGUAUGAGCCGGGUCAGUACCUGGAUAAGAGACCUCCUGGGAAAACCAAGGGUGCUGCUGAAA